rnacentral:rRNA from 1 species
GGCGAAGGCGACUCUCUGGUCUGUAACUGACGCUGAGGCGCGAAAGCGUGGGGAGCGAACAGGAUUAGAUACCCUGGUAGUCCACGCCGUAAACGAUGAGUGCUAAGUGUUAGAGGGUUUCCGCCCUUUAGUGCUGCAGCAAACGCAUUAAGCACUCCGCCUGGGGAGUACGGUCGCAAGACUGAAACUCAAAGGAAUUGACGGGGGCCCGCACAAGCGGUGGAGCAUGUGGUUUAAUUUGAAGCAACGCGAAGAACCUUACCAGGUCUUGACAUCCUCUGACAACCCUAGAGAUAGGGCUUCCCCUUCGGGGGCAGAGUGACAGGUGGUGCAUGGUUGUCGUCAGCUCGUGUCGUGAGAUGUUGGGUUAAGUCCCGCAACGAGCGCAACCCUUGAUCUUAGUUGCCAGCAUUCAGUUGGGCACUCUAAGGUGACUGCCGGUGACAAACCGGAGGAAGGUGGGGAUGACGUCAAAUCAUCAUGCCCCUUAUGACCUGGGCUACACACGUGCUACAAUGGGCAGAACAAAGGGCAGCGAAGCCGCGAGGCUAAGCCAAUCCCACAAAUCUGUUCUCAGUUCGGAUCGCAGUCUGCAACUCGACUGCGUGAAGCUGGAAUCGCUAGUAAUCGCGGAUCAGCAUGCCGCGGUGAAUACGUUCCCGGGCCUUGUACACACCGCCC